rnacentral:rRNA from 1 species
GACGUAGGUGGCGAACGUUAUCCGGAAUUAUUGGGCGUAAAGGGUGCGUAGGUGGCCUGGCAAGUUAUCAGUGGUAAAUCGAGGCCCAACCUCGUGGAAACUGGCAAUACUGCUUGGCUUGAGUGCAGGAGAGGUUAACGGAACUCUAUGUGGAGCGGUAAAAUGCACAGAUAUAUAGAAGAACAUCAAUAACGGCGAACGCAGUUAACUAUUCUGUUACUGACACUGAGGCACGAAAGCGUGGGGAGCAAAACGG